AGCACGAAUUCCCCAGCUUCUCACAACGCACCCAAGAACGGAGGUUGCGCGACCGUGCACCUCGAUUCAGCAAAAAACCCCAGGUGCAGUCAGUGCCGGAGCGAGCUUGUGGGAAACCCUGGGAGGGCAGCUUCACCCAUCCACGCCUCCAAACCUUUACAACAACAGCAGCAGCAGCCGCCGCCGCCGCUACCCCGGGACCAGCAAACGCGGUCCCGCACCUCUCGCCCGCAGCCCUCAGGUGCCCCCUUGCCUUGUGCCCCGCACCCCCGUGCGGGCCCUGCCCGGCCGCGGCAGCCGAGCGCUGGCGGGGAUGGCGGCCGGGAACAGCCGGCGCCGCUUCCCCCGCGGCGCAGCUUAAGAGGCAGCAGAAGAGCCCUCGGCCUCCCUCCCCGCGCAAGCAGCCCGGCACUAAGAGUAGCUCCUCGGAGCCGGGGGGCUGAGCCCCUUCCAACCGCGCAUCGGGACCCCACGCCCGGCUCGGACGCGGAGGGAGCGGGAUCCCUCGCUCCCACGCCCCAGCCAGGCGAGCGGUCCCGGCGGCGGCUCUUCCCCCAACCCCUCGCCCACCCGGUCCCGAGGAGGGGCAAGGCGGGAGAAGGGCGGCACUUACGGGGCCCGGGCACGGCUCCCUGCGGCGGCGCCAGGUCGGGGUGCGCGGAGGCGCAGCGGCAGCGGCGGGUCUCUCAGCGGCGCAGCCGGGGCGCUCCUCCCCUCAGGAAGCCCCCGUGCCCGGCCUUCCCACACGUGCGGGGCCGGCAAACCCCACCCCGCCGCGCCGACCCCCUUCCCGCCCUCCCCUCCCCUCCCCUCCCCCCCGGAGCCGGGCCACCCCCGGCUGAGCGGCGCGGCGGCGCAGCGGGGAGACGGGGCUCUUCCCCGGGGCGUCGGGCCGUGUCACUCGCCGCGUCCCUCGGGGAAGGGAGGCCGGGCAGCCCCAACUCCGCCACUGGGGCUAGUGCCACCCUCAGCGCCGUUACAGACACCCCCCCGGCCGUUACAGAGCCCCUAACACCUAACGGUCGAGGAGCGACCGUUAAACCCCACCCGCGAGCCUCACCUGUUUCUCACUACUGA
rnacentral:lncRNA from 1 species